UACGUAGGGUGCGAGCGUUAAUCGGAAUUACUGGGCGUAAAGCGUGCGCAGGCGGUCUGUUAAGACAGAUGUGAAAUCCCCGGGCUUAACCUGGGAACUGCAUUGGUGACUGCAUUGCUGGAGUAUGGCAGAGGGGGGUGGAAUUCCACGUGUAGCAGUGAAAUGCGUAGAGAUGUGGAGGAACACCGAUGGCGAAGGCAGCCCCCUGGGCCAAUACUGACGCCUCAUGCACGAAAGCGUGGGGAGCAAACAGG
rnacentral:rRNA from 1 species